rnacentral:rRNA from 1 species
GACGAACGCUGGCGGCGUGCUUAACACAUGCAAGUCGAACGAGAAGACAAGAUAAGCUUGCUUCUUUUGCAAUCGAGUGGCUUAGGGGUGAGUAACACGGAAACAACCUGCCUUCAGGAGGGGGACAACAGACGGAAACGACUGCUAAUACCGAAUACGCGAGGGAGACCGCAUGAUCUUCCAAGGAAGGGGUGGCCUCCACCUGUAAGCUAUCGCCUGAAGAGGGGUUUGCGUCUGAUUAGGCAGCUGGUGAGGUAACGGCCCACCAAACCUACCAUCAGUAGCCGGUGUGAGAGGAUGAACGGCCACACUGGAACUGACACACGGUCCACACUCCUACGGGAGGCAGCAGUGGGGAAUCUUCCGCAAUGGGCGAAAGCCUGACGGAGCAACCCCGCGUGAGUGAUGACGGCCUUCGGGUUGUAAAGCUCUGUGAUCGUGGACGAACGGUCAGUAAGCUAAUACCUUAUGGAAGUGACGGUUCCGGAAUAGCAAGCCACGGCUAAUCUACGUGCCAGCAGCCGUGGUAAUACGUAGGUGGCAAGCGUUGUCCGGAAUUUUUGGGCGUAAAGCGCGCGCAGGCGGCUUUGUAAGUCCAUCUUAAAAGUGCGGGGCUUAACCCCGUGAUGGGAUGGAAACUGGGAAGCUGGAGUAUCGGAGAGGAAAGUGGAAUUCCUAGUGUAGCGGUGAAAUGCGUAGAGAUUAGGAAGAACACCGGUGGCGACGGCGACUUUGUGGACGACAACUGACGUUGAGGCGCGAAAGCCUGGGGAGCAAACAGGAUUAGA